rnacentral:lncRNA from 1 species
UUACCAGGCACUUACAGAGAAGGUUGACGAGGAUGACAGGGAACUAAUUGGGGGAGGGAUGCCAUGGUUGAAAACAUGGCUGGGGCAGCGAGAAGUUAAGAUGAAGUCCCAAGAGUCGCAAGAACAUGCAGUUCCAGGACGUGAUUCUCUGCAGGGACAAAGAGAGACAGCAGCUACAAGUCUAUAGGCAGUGACAAAGGAUCUGAGAUCCCAUCAGAGUAGACUUCAAGUUGGAGAAAACUUUUAUUGGCACAGGCAUUCCUUGUUAACUUGACAGGGUGAAGCUGUAAUUUUUCAAAAACAGUAAAAGCUGGUUUCUCCUAAACUAUUUUCCUUGUGGUAGUAGAGAUCAGUGGGUCAGAAACAACUCCUGACCACUUGGUUUCCUUUUGAGCCGCGUCAUAAGGAGGCAAUCUGUAAAACUAGCACAGGUCUCCCGCUGUUCCACUGGCUCACCCACAUGAUUAG